GCUGGGCGUGGUGGCUCACACUUGUAAUCCCAGCACUUUGGGAGGCCAAGGCGGGCAGAUCACGAGGUCAAGAGAUCGAGACCAUCUGGGCUAACACGGUGAAACCCCGUCUCUACUAAAAAAAAAUACAAAAAAUUAGCUGGGCAUGGUGGCGGGCGCCUGUAGUCCCAGCUACUCAGGAGGCUGAGGCAGGAGACAGGCGUGAACCCAGGAGGCAGAGCUUGCAGUGAGCGGAGAACGUGCCACUGCACUCCCGCCUGGGCGACAGAGCAAGACUCCAUCUCAAAAAAACAAAAAACAAACAACAGCAACAAACCAGACACCUAUUAUAUCACGGUUCCGG
rnacentral:lncRNA from 10 species